rnacentral:ncRNA from 11 species
ACUCUCCUUAUCUGGGGUUGUACUUCUGUUCUGCGAAUGUAUAGCAAGAACAGUACAACUAGCAAUAGAAGUAAAACACCACCGUUAAUUCCCCUGUAAUGUAUUGAGGA